rnacentral:lncRNA from 1 species
CUAUAAAUGUACAUUAGUAUGCUUUUACUCCUUGGAAAUUAUAAUCCAAGUGAAUCAGUUACACAAUUAGUGGAUACAAUGAGUCCUUGGACUUCUGCCUAUUGGAGGAGGAUUUAUGGUGAAGCAAUAACCCAUACUUUACCUUUAGCCAGUGUUUGAUACUAGUUGGGAAACCAAAAGUUUCACUAUGCCAGCCCUCUCUGGAGAUACUUGGAGGAAUUACAGCACACUUUAGCAUAUUUAGCAAUGUUCCCUUUUCUGCCCACACUUUUUAAAGGCACAAUUGCAUAGUGGCUGCCUGCAGAAAUUUUAAAAUACAUUCUGUGAAUGAGGAGAAAUGCAGACAUGUUGGCAACGCUGAUCAUUUUUAUUGUGGAUCUCAUGCUUGCUUCGGCUGUUGUGAUUACCCUAUAUGCUGUUUACUUAAUAGCAGCCACGAGUAUUUUUAUCUCAGUUGUUUUCUAUAUUUACAAAGAAGAGAUGGAAAAAAAUUGUGAUUUGAACAAGGGUAGAACUCUAGCAAUGCCAAAUUCUAGCAGUGCUGCUGGAGAGACCGUUGCUGGCCACACGGAGAAGGUCAGCUCCAGGACGCUUCCUGUGUAUUUUCCAGCUGUGCGAGAAAGGGCCUUCCUGUCCAAGGAAAGUGAUGCUCUUCUCCGGCACAAGGAGCUCUGCACAGUGGAAGAGCCAUGGGGGAAGGAUUGGCAGAUCCCGUCCACAACCAAUGAAGAAUUCUUUUUUCAGCAGGCAAGCCAGGCCCAAGAAAGAAGGAGAAAUGUGAAGGCCAUUUGUUGAGCUCAUCAAAUGAAAUCAAUCCGCCACCCCACCCUGUUCUGAGACAUCAACUCUCACCCGGACAUUUGAAAUCAUCUAACUUCUUCCCAGUGUUGCUGCUGUACACAUCUAAUCGCCACACAUCAGCCAAAACAUUCCUUACAAAUACUAAAAAAAAAUGCCUGCCCAGUCCUCUGCUCACUUCUGUCCGGUGACAACAAUCUCAGAGGAGAAGCCAGGGAUUUUCAAGACCUUGAUUUUUCAAGACUCUACAUGAAAAGGCCUUCUCCUCCCGUCUCACCCUCCCACACUUCCCCCCAUGCACCUCAAGUUCCAGCAACAGCACAUUCGUCCAGUGCUAAUGACCUGAUAGUUGGCCACGAAUCCCUCAGGAUCUUGGGGCUGUUCUUUGAAUGUGACCCACAGGGUCUACUUUCUCAAUUCUUCUUAAAGUUCACCUCUUUGAGGAGGAAUGCUCUGGCCAGCCUAUAUGAAUGAAUACAUCCUGCACUCUAUGAAAUUCUUACCAUGGUUUUUCUUCAUAGCACCUACUCAUACCUGAAAUAUUACAUACACAUUUUUUUUUCUUUUCUCCCCUAGUAGAAUAUGAAUUCCAUGAGAAUAGUGACUUUGUUUCUUUUGUUUACUGCUGUAACCCCAAUGUUUAGAACAGGGCCCAGUAGACGAUAAAUGAUGAUAUGCUUAAUGAAUGAGUCAAUGAAUAAAUAUCUUUUUGCCUAGGAGAUGAUGUUUAAGAUUUCACUUAUUCAAACCUCACUAAAUGAAUUGCUUUGAUGCCAAUAAAAGUUAAAGGAUAAAUAAAUGCAGGCAAACUCCUAGGUCUUAUUAGUGUGAACCACCAUCCUUAUCUGCUGUUUUGGCUCUGUGCCGUUGUUGGAUAUCUUCUAAAUGUCAUUUGAACAAAGAUGAGACUUAUAAAAGCUAGAAAACAGGUUCAUGGUAUCCUCUUACAUUACUCUAUUGGACUUAUCUUUUGGUAUUAUCAAGUGAAUAGAGAUAAUUUCAAAAAUAAUUUAAGCGAAAAACGUUUACAGUUUCACAAAAUAUGAACUUGUUACUUGUGUUUUUUUCCUAAAAGAAUACUCUAAAAAUGUCUGGAUGAAAGUUUAAAAUAAUUAAAAUAGUUGAGAAGAGCAAACUUUUAAAAAGUUUUCAGUUUUAUAAAAGGAAGUCACCUCUUAUUUGAACAUGAGUUAUUUUAAACUUGUAAGAACUUAGCACAGAGGAAUAAAUUCUCAGUACAAUAAUCAUUUUGCUUGCUUGGUCAUAUAAAUGGAAACAAAGCCAUGGAUUUCACUGGCAAAGAUGGACAGAGUAGUGGGAAAAAUGACUAAAAGUGUGCAAAACUAAUCAGACUGUAUCUCUAGAGUAUUUCAUAUCUCAAAUUUUGUUAUUUGCCAAUUUGGCAUAUCUUUAUUUGUGAGAAAGGAAAGAAAUGAACAAACAUAUAAAUAAAGUCUAGUUCAUGGUUACCUCUAGAUUUAGCCUCUGACCCAAACAUAUUUCUUUGAAAAGCACAAAAUAAAAUCAAAAUAAAAUCUUGUUAUAGUAUAAGAAACAACAGUAAUUAAAUUAAGAUGAGACAAGUGUCAUGAAGUAGAAAUACAUGGUGCUUGAAUUUAAUUUAUUCAAAAGUCUUCAUGAGCUGAUCGUGUUCUUUUAAAUCCAAUUACUGAUUUGCAUCUUUAUAAUAUUUUAAUUAUUGCAUCUAUAAAAGGAAGCACUAGUUAAGAAUUACAUUUAAUAAAAAAUAUCUAACCAGCUUGAUGUUGGUCAACCAUUUCAUAUGGGUUUUUUUCUGAAGAUCUAAUAUUUUGAUAAAUUUUCUUUAUACUUUUGUAGAUAUAUUCUUCUGUUCUGUUUCAUUCAGUAUACAAAUAAUUUUAAAAUUAUACCAGUUUAAUUUCAACUAAUUUUCUAGAGAAGUGCAAGCAAGACAGAAAUGUUUUAGCUUUUCUGUAAUUGUAAUAAAUGUACAAUGAGCCUUAACUCCAUCAUUUUAUGACUAAAUUUUUAUCUAAUCUGCAUAAUGAUAUAAAUUUGCUCUGCAUAUAUAUAAUAGUAAAAAUAUGUGUAUAUAUACUAGUAAAAGAAAAUUGAAA